GCGCCAUUAGCUCAGUUGGAUAGAGCAUCAGUCUUCUAAACUGAGAGUCAUUGGUUCGAGUCCAAUAUGGCGUACCA
rnacentral:tRNA from 1 species